UAUGUAUUAUGACUGUUGUGUUUUGGUUUCCUAGGGUUUAGUUUGUGCUCCCUCUGUUUGGUGUCAUCUCUGCUGUGGAUCCCCUGUAGUGUAGUCAAGUCUCUGUGUUUAGCCCAAGUCUCUGAGUCUGUGGCUGUGUCCCAAUUCAGGGUAUGCACGCUUGAUAUUUGGGGAAAUCGACGGCGCAUUUGGAGUAUGCAUUUGAAGUACACUUUGAAUUGGGUGAGCCGUCGUCACGUGGCGUUAGCGUGUGUGUGUUUUUCCUGUUUUACUUUGAAGGUCACAAAAUAAACUUUUAAGAUAUUUUCAGGCGAGAAUGUAGCUGUGUAAAUUUCAAAUAUCUGCUCGAUUUAUCAAGACAUCACAUAUUUGCAAAAAUGCUCCGACGUUUUCGGAGACGUCCAUUUGUUUUUCAUGCUUUGUGGCGGCUUUUGGACAUCUGUGGCAUUUAUUAAUGUCAAAUCUAGCCUUUAUUUAACAACAUAAGCAAACUCUAUGUUACGAUGAUUGCACAGCCAUUAAGGAUCAAAUCAAUGUUCUGUUUUUUCUCCCUCUGCUUGCUUCUUACUGUCUUUGAGGCUCGGGACCAGCACUCCUGCUGUUGGACAGAAAGACAUCAACUUGAGAUAUGACUGCACGAUGCUGUUGCUGUGACUCCAGUUAAUUCUACAAGACAUGCUGUGACACCAGGAGAAAUGAGUCCUCCGUCACAGAUGGUGUGGUCAGUGAAGAUGGUCGCCUGCAGGUUCAAGCUCAUUGCAUCUCCAACCCACAUCCACUGCCACUGUACUGAAGGGAAGUUAAAGACUUUCUUCUGCACCUACAUUUGGAUCACCUCGAUCCAUGACAGUCAUUCAGGCAGUAAUGCCUGGACUGGAAACAAGCAUCCUUAAAAUAAUACAACAUUCCAGCUCCUGUGUUGGAAUGGAAAACAAAUGUGUUGUUUAAAUCAGAGACUGCACU